CGAAUAUUCCGCAAUGCGCGAAAGCGUGACGGAGCAAUGCCGCGUGUGGGAUGAAGCCCUUCGGGGUGUAAACCACUGUCAGGGGUUAGAAAGAUCUGAUCAGCCCCAAAGGAAGAGCCGGCUAACUCUGUGCCAGCAGCCGCGGUAAUACAGAGGGCUCAAGCGUUGCGCGGAAUCACUGGGCUGAAAGCGUGCGCAGGCGGACCUGCAAGUACUUUGUGAAAUACCACGGCUCAACCGUGGAAUUGCUUGGUAUACUGCGGGUCUUGAGAUCGGUAGAGGUUGUCGGAACUCUAGGUGGAGCGGUGAAAUGCGUAGAUAUCUAGAGGAACGCCGAAGGUGAAGACAGGCAACUGGGCCGAUUCUGACGCUCAUGCACGAAAGCGUGGGUAGCGAAC
rnacentral:rRNA from 1 species